rnacentral:tRNA from 1 species
AUUCCUGUAGUUGAAGUUUUCAACAGUGAUUUUUCAGGUCACAGGUCUUGGAAAAAUAAGCCAAGCAGGAAUU